ACCCAAACGAUUGGCCUUCCUUUCCUUCUCAAACUAUGUUGAAAUUGCAUCUUUAACAGCCCAAUUUUCAAAAUUUCCUUGGGGAAAAAACCCCAGACCCCCAUAAAAAAUAAAAAAAAAUUGCUGGGCUAAAGCCCCGGAUCUUUUGCACUCCUAGUGACGCCCCUGUUAUUGGAAAACAUUUUUAU